UACGUAGGGUGCGAGCGUUGUCCGGAAUUACUGGGCGUAAAGAGCUUGUAGGCGGUUUGUCGCGUCGUUUGUGAAAACUUGGGGCUCAACCCCAAGCUUGCAGGCGAUACGGGCAGACUAGAGUACUUCAGGGGAGACUGGAAUUCCUGGUGUAGCGGUGAAAUGCGCAGAUAUCAGGAGGAACACCGGUGGCGAAGGCGCACAUCUGGCCCGAUACUGACGCUGAGGCGCGAAAGCUAGGGGAGCAAGCGGG
rnacentral:rRNA from 1 species